AGUCAUAUGCUUGUCUCAAAGAUUAAGCCAUGCAUGUCUAAGUAUAAGCAAUUUAUACAGUGAAACUGCGAAUGGCUCAUUAAAUCAGUUAUCGUUUAUUUGAUAGUUUCUUUACUACAUGGAAUACCUGUGGUAAUUCUAGAGCUAAUACAUGCUUAAAAUCCCGACUCACGAAGGGAUGUAUUUAUUAGAUAAAAAAUCAAUGUCUUCGGACUUCUGAUGAUUCAUAAUAACUUUUCGAAUCGCAUGGCCUUGUGCUGGCGAUGGUUCAUUCAAAUUUCUGCCCUAUCAACUUUUGAUGGUAGGAUAGUGGCCUACCAUGGUUUCAACGGGUAACGGGGAAUAAGGGUUCGAUUCCGGAGAGGGAGCCUGAGAAACGGCUACCACAUCCAAGGAAGGCAGCAGGCGCGCAAAUUACCCAAUCCUAAUUCAGGGAGGUAGUGACAAUAAAUAACGAUACAGGGCUUUAUGUCUUGUAAUUGGAAUGAGUACAAUGUAAAUACCUUAACGAGGAACAAUUGGAGGGCAAGUCUGGUGCCAGCAGCCGCGGUAAUUCCAGCUCCAAUAGCGUAUAUUAAAGUUGUUGCAGUUAAAAAGCUCGUAGUUGAACUUUGGGCUUGGAGAAUCGGUCCGACUAUGUCGUGUACUGUCUUCUCCAGGUCUUUCCUUCUGGUUCUCAAUUGGGGCUUGCUCCUUUUGGUGAUCCAGGAUUUUUACUUUGAAAAAAUUAGAGUGUUCAAAGCAGGCGUUUUGCUCGAAUAUAUUAGCAUGGAAUAAUAGAAUAGGACGAAUGGUUCUAUUUUGUUGGUUUCUAGGACCAUCGUAAUGAUUAAUAGGGACGGUCGGGGGCAUCAGUAUUCAGUUGUCAGAGGUGAAAUUCUUGGAUUUACUGAAGACUAACUACUGCGAAAGCAUUUGCCAAGGACGUUUUCAUUAAUCAAGAACGAAAGUUAGGGGAUCGAAGAUGAUCAGAUACCGUCGUAGUCUUAACCAUAAACUAUGCCGACUAGGGAUCGGGCGGUGCCUUUUAUUGGCCCACUCGGCACCUUACGAGAAAUCAAAGUUUUUGGGUUCUGGGGGGAGUAUGGUCGCAAGGCUGAAANUUAAAGGAAUUGACGGAAGGGCACCACCAGGAGUGGAGCCUGCGGCUUAAUUUGACUCAACACGGGGAAACUCACCAGGUCCAGACACAAUAAGGAUUGACAGAUUGAGAGCUCUUUCUUGAUUUUGUGGGUGGUGGUGCAUGGCCGUUCUUAGUUGGUGGAGUGAUUUGUCUGCUUAAUUGCGAUAACGAACGAGACCUUAACCCUUAAAUAGGUUGGCUGGCUUUCGCUGGUUAACCUUCUUAUGGGGACUAUCGAUUUCAAGUCGAUGGAAGUUUGAGGCAAUAACAGGUCUGUGAUGCCCUUAGACGUUCUGGGCCGCACGCGCGCUACACUGACGGAGCCAGCGAGCAUAUCCUUGACCGAGAGGUUUGGGUAAUCUUGUGAAACUCCGUCGUGCUGGGGAUAGAGCAUUGUAAUUAUUGCUCUUCAACGAGGAAUUCCUAGUAAGCGCAAGUCAUCAGCUUGCGUUGAUUACGUCCCUGCCCUUUGUACACACCGCCCGUCGCUAGUACCGAUUGAAUGGCUUAGUGAGGCUUCAGGAUUUGCUUAGAUCGAGGGGCAACUCUCUUUCAGAGCGGAGAAUCUAGUCAAACUUGGUCAUUUAGAGGAACUAAAAGUCGUAACAAGGUUU
rnacentral:rRNA from 1 species